AUCUUGAUUUCUGAUUUGAGCAUGAAGUGUGGAGAUGGAUCCUGGAAGAUUCAUUGGUAAGCACGAAAGCCUGUAGGACCAAAAUAUUGGUUUGUGAUUCCAUUAUGGAAACUUUGGAGAUGGAGGGUGUCGUCAAUAAUAUCAUCCAGCCAUGUAGUGCAUUGGAAGCUUUGAAGCUUGUCUCUGCCUGCAGCAGAAGUGUGUCAAAUUAUCUCACGUUUGCCAGAAAAACAAUUUGAUCACUUCUUGUAAGCCAUAUGGUCAAAUUUGUUUCCCAACUUUAGCCACUGAAACUAUCUUUGCUGUUGGAGACAAGAUCCAUAUCUGAUUGUGAGCGAAAUAUCAGUUCGUGCUGCUCCUGUAAAGUAUCAACUCAUCUGUACAUCCUCCUUGCUCAGGCAUAUGUUAAUUUCUCUGAACAUUGGUUGGACAUUGCCCAUGUAACACUCCAACUCCUAUCACCUUAGCCCCAGAUGAUACCGAUGCGUCACCCAGUGUGUUGAGCAGUUGGCCAUGGUUGGGAGCCAGGGAGCAGCACGACAUGAGGGCACGACACUCAGGCAAGAACUUACUUUGCAGAGUUAGGUAAAUCUUAGGGCAAGCAGCUCGGAUUACUGAUGGCGUGGAUGGCCGCGAGGUACUUGAUCAACGGAUUAGAUGUGGAGUGGAGUCAAUGAAGGGAUGUGUAGCAGAUCAAGUGUGAAAGUUAGGGAAAUAGGUUAAGGGAAAGAUAUUGGACCGUCAACGCAAAUCGUGAUGUGGAUGGACGGUAUUAGCCAAGAAAUUGUUUACGAAGGCAAACAUUUGUAAUAGUUUCUGGUUCCCGUGGUAUCAGUAAAGGGGCACAAAAUCUCGAACCAAACUUUUUCUGUCUUGCUACUCACAA